UACGUAGGGGGCUAGCGUUGUCCGGAAUCAUUGGGCGUAAAGAGCUCGUAGGCGGUUGGGCAAGUCACGUGUGAAAUCUCCACGCUCAACGUGGAGGCGCCACGUGAGACUGCCCUGACUCGAGUCCGGUAGGGGAGCGUGGAAUUCCCGGUGUAGCGGUGAAAUGCGCAGAGAUCGGGAGGAACACCCGUAGCGAAGGCGGCGCUCUGGGCCGGUACUGACGCUGAGGAGCGAAAGCGUGGGGAGCAAACAGG
rnacentral:rRNA from 1 species